UGCCUGACUUUUUCCAUUGAUGAUUGUGGUGGUUUCCCAUAGUGGAAACCAAAAACUUCAUCCUACGCUACGGAGUCGGACGGACUUAGCAACGUACAGUCCGUGCAGAAAACGCUUCGUUACGAUCCAACCGAAUGUCAGUUCUGUCCACGCGAUGUCCACUUCCUCGGGACUCACUCUGCAAUUGGAUCAACUUGUUUUUUGUCCCGUGACAUCUAAUCGCAGUUCAUGGUUCUCACAAUUCACUUUGGACUAUGUUAAAUAGUUUAAGGCAGAUAAAAAUUCUCAAAUGUAUAUUAUAAUAUAAAAAAAAUGUACGUUUAUCAAGUG